rnacentral:rRNA from 1 species
AACGAACGCUGGCGGCGUGGAUAAGACAUGCAAGUCGAACGGGACAACAUCUGUAGCAAUACAGGUGUUGUUUAGUGGCGAACGGGUGCGUAACACGUGGGCAAUCUGCCGAGAAGUGGGGAUAGCUCGCCGAAAGGCGAAUUAAUACCGCAUAUGAUCAGGGGGGACAUCCUCUCGAAAUUAAAGCCGGGGCAACCUGGCGCUUCUUGAUGAGCCCGCGGCCUANCAGCUAGUUGGUGAGGUAACGGCUCACCAAGGCUUUGACGGGUAGCUGGUCUGAGAGGACGACCAGCCACGCUGGAACUGAGACACGGUCCAGACACCUACGGGAGCAGCAGUGGGAAUCUUGCGCAAUGGACGAAAGUCUGACGCAGCAACGCCGCGUGGGUGAUGAAGG